UCCUGCCUCAGCCUCCCGAGUAACUGGGGCUACAGGUGCCAGCCACCACGCCUGGCUAAUUUUUUGUGUUUUUAGUAGAGACGGGAUUUCACCGUGUUAGCCAGGAUGGUCUCGAUCUCCUGACCUCGUGAUCCACCCUCCUUGGCCUCCCAAAGUGCUGGGAUUACAGGAGUGAGCCACCGCGCCUGGCCUUUUUUUUUUUUUGGAGACAGAGUCUCACUCUGGCCCAGGCUGGAAUGCAGUGGUGCGAUCUCAGCUCACUGCAAGCUCCCCCUCCCCAGGGUUUAAGUGAUUCUCCUGCCUCAGCCUCCUGAGUAGCUGGGACUACAGGCACCCGCCACCAUGCCCAGCUAAUUUUUGUAGUUUUAGUACAGAUGGGGUUUUGCCAUGUUGGCCAGGCUGGUCUUGAACUCCUGACCUCGGGUAAUCCACCGGCCUUGGCCUCCCAAAGUGCUGGGAUUACAGGUGUGAGCCACCGCGCCCGUCCGUGUGAUCUCAUUUCUAUGAAAUGUCCAGGACAGGCCCAUCCACAGACAGGGAGAUGACAUUUGAUCUCAGACCCUGUUGUAGGUGGAACUGUGUUCCCGCAAAUGUUCAAGGCCGGGCGCGGUGGCUCACGCCUGUAAAUCCAGCAUUUUGGGAGGCCGAGGUGGGUGGAUCACCUGAGGUCAGGAGUUCGAGACCAGCCUGGGCAACAUGGGGAACCCCCGUCUCAACUAAAAAUACAAAAGUUAGCCUGGCGUGGUGGCGCGCAUCUAUAGUCCUAACUAGGGGAAUCUGGGGUGGGAGGAUCGCUUGAUCCCAGGAGUUGAGGCUUCAGUGAGCUGUGAUCGUGCCACUGCGCUCUAGCCACUGGGCAACAGAGUGAGACUGUCUCAAGGGAAAAAAAAAGGUAUGUUCACGUCCUGCCCUCCGUGCCUGCUGUGCACGGGACCUCAUUUGGAAUCAGGGUCUUUACAGAUGUGCUCAGGGCUAGAUGAGACUGCAGUGGAUUACAGUGAGCCUUUUCCAACGACUCCUGUCCUUACAACAAGAGGGAGACUUGGACACACACCUAGCCCUAUACAGGGGAAAUAGAGCCGUGUGAACACGGAGGCAGAGGCUAGGGUGACACAGCCACAAGCCGGGGAUUGCUGAGAGCCCCAGGAAGCCGGGAGAGGCAGGAAGGACGCGCCCCGGGAGCUUCCAGAGGGCCCCCGGCCCUGCGGACACCUUGAUUUUGGACUUCCGCCUCCGGAGCUGGGAAGGCAUAUAUUUCGGUUGUUUUAAACCCCCCGGGGUUUGUGGCGCCGUGUUCUGGCAGGAAACAGGCCGACCCAAAAGUUGAACAGAGCCCAUGGUUUUCUGGAGGAAGGGUGUGUGGGCUGGGGGAACAGCCACGGCAGAGGCCCCGAGGUGUGGCGGGAGUCUGGUGAAGCUAAAGGAGAGAGUGGAGGGGGGCGGGGAGCUGGGUUAGGAGGGGCCUCUGGGUGGGGGGCAGAUGACAUGGAGCCGUGGUGGCCCAGAGGAACAGGCGCCAAUGCUCCGUGGGUCCUGGUAGCUGUGCCUCCUGGGCUGUUUCCGUCUCUCCUGGGAGCCUGCUGCACCCUUACCAGCUCUUCUUGGCUGCAGCCAAGAUUCUGGGGGCUGGGGUGGCGGGUGGAGGUGGGGUUGGAGGGAGCGGGAGGAAGCAGCCAGAACUACCAGGCGGCAUUGCCCAGCUUCUUCUGCUUGGCCGCCUCCCCCGCCAGCCGGCCGGCUAUUUUUGGCAUCUUGGCAGCUGAGCCCCCCUCGGCAUCCCCCCAGGCCCCGUGGCCCAAACCAGGUUGUGCGUCUCCUCACGGUUCCCACUGGCCUUCGAUCCUCAUUUGCUAAAUAUCUGCGAAGGCAGCUCCCGCCUCCCCAGUGCCUACGCGAAUUUAAUCCCAGAGCGAACAGACGCGGAGCCCCGGGAGACUGCUUCAUGUCAGAGAUGAAUUGUACGUAAGUGAGGACAGGGUUUGUAUCUUGCAGCUGUAAUUCAUUAAGAUGAGGUCACGCAGGAGCAGGGAGAGCCCUAAUUCAAUGACUGGCAUCCUUAUAAGAGGGAAAUCUGGACACAGAGACACAGGCAACGGCCAAGUCACAACACAGGCAGAGACUGGAGUGAUUCAUCCACAAGUCAAGUGACACCAGGGAUGGCCAGCUACCACCGGAAGCUGGAAGAGUCAGAAAGGGUCUCCCCAAAAGCCCCCAAAGGAAGCUGGACCUGCUUGAGCUUCGACUUCCAGACUCCAGAACUGUGAGAGCAGCAGCUCCUCUUGCCCGGCGCGGUGGCUCACGCCUGUCAUCCCAGCACUUCGGGAGGCUGAGGCGGGUGGAUCACUUGAGGUCAGGAGUUCGAGAGCAGCCUAAGCAACAUGGAGAAACCCUGUCUCUACUAAAAAAUACAAAAACUAGCCGGGCGUGGUGAUGGGCGCCUGUAAUCCCAGCUCCUUGUGAGGCUGAGGGAGGAGAAUCGCUUGAACCUGGCAGGCGGAGGUGGCAGUGAGCCGAGAUUGUGCCACUGCACUCCAGCCUGGGCGACAAGAGGGGAAACUCCGUCUCAAUAAAUACAUAAAUAAAUAAGGUGAAACGCCAAACUGAAUUCU
ensembl:lncRNA novel transcript